rnacentral:sRNA from 1 species
AGCUCCGCGGUAAUGGAGGCUGGGGAUGGGUGCUGAAGUACCAGGCUUUGGCUCUAGCUUUAGCUCUGGCACUGGAACUGCCUCGGAGUCUGGGUCUGAGUCUGGCAGCCCGAAGCUUGGACACCUUUUCUUGAUUCUCUAGGUGGGGGCUGCCUGCGUCCAAGCACCUGGUUUGCAGCGUUUCAACGCGGGGAGGGAGUUCCCUUACCUGGGGUCCAGUCUGUAAAGUUGUCGCCGCUUUCUAGGGAUCCCGCCCCACCGGCUGGGACUCUUCCAUGCAGUUGAAACUGGUUGACAACCAUUAACCUGGGUUGCAACUACAGGUGGCACUGGAAGCAGACUGGUUCCUGGACAUGCCCGGUGGAAGGAGGGGCCCUAGUCGGCAACAGCUAAGCCGUUCAGCUUUACCUUCUUUGCAGACUUUGGUUGGUGGGGGCUGUGGCAAUGGAACAGGCUUGAGAAACAGUACAUCAACAUUUAUAAAACAGUGUGGUGGUAUCCUUACAAUCAUCCUGCUUCUUGUACAUCACUGAAUUUUCAUCUCAUUGAUUAUC